AGAGUUUGAUCCUGGCUCAGGAUGAACGCUAGCUACAGGCUUAACACAUGCAAGUCGAGGGGCAGCAUGAAAGUUUGCUUGCAAACUUUUGAUGGCGACCGGCGCACGGGUGAGUAACACGUAUCCAACCUGCCUCAUACUCGGGGAUAGCCUUUCGAAAGAAAGAUUAAUACCCGAUGUCAUAGUCCUACCGCAUGAUGGGAUUAUUAAAGAAUUUCGGUAUGGGAUGGGGAUGCGUUCCAUUAGUUAGUUGGCGGGGUAACGGCCCACCAAGACGACGAUGGAUAGGGGUUCUGAGAGGAAGGUCCCCCACAUUGGAACUGAGACACGGUCCAAACUCCUACGGGAGGCAGCAGUGAGGAAUAUUGGUCAAUGGACGAGAGUCUGAACCAGCCAAGUAGCGUGAAGGAUGACUGCCCUAUGGGUUGUAAACUUCUUUUAUAUGGGAAUAAAAUGUUCCACGUGUGGGAUUUUGUAUGUACCAUAUGAAUAAGGAUCGGCUAACUCCGUGCCAGCAGCCGCGGUAAUACGGAGGAUCCGAGCGUUAUCCGGAUUUAUUGGGUUUAAAGGGAGCGUAGGUGGAUUGUUAAGUCAGUUGUGAAAGUUUGCGGCUCAACCGUAAAAUUGCAGUUGAAACUGGCAGUCUUGAGUACAGUAGAGGU
rnacentral:rRNA from 1 species